rnacentral:antisense_RNA from 1 species
GGCCGAAAGGCGAAAGUGAGAUUUCGAGGGCCGGGUCUGGGGCCCCGCGGGCGCGCAGUGCUGCGAUAUGUGGGGAGUACGGGGAGGCUGGAGAGGAGCCGGCCCCGGGCAGUGUGAGGUGCGGAAGCGCGGUCCAGACACUUUGCUGACGGGAGGCCUGUCCGCCAGAUCCGGGAGGUGGGGCCUGGUUCUGGACUGCUGAUUUUCUUCACAGAAAUAAUGCCAUCUGUGAAUGAAGGGAGUUAUACUUCUUAUUUUCCAAAUGGAGGUUUUAUUUUUCUUGCAUGACUUCACUGGCUAGAACCACUAGUACAAUGCUGAUUAGAAGUGAUAAGAAACAGAGGCAAAUGCAGGUUAAGGAACCUCACAGUAAGGGAUAAAACUCAUAUUUUAACCUGAUCUGCCUGAUUCUGGAGCCUGCACCAUCAUUCCAUUGUCAUGCUUGCCACAUGUCUCUUUGAGGCUUGCUAAAAUUGAUAUCCAUGAGUUCUAUCAAUUCUGGGACAGAGAACAAAUUGUGUGUCAGCCUGUACAGAUGGAGGGACAGCGAGGAAUUUGCCAAGACAUUUUGGAGUUUCUGAAAUAAAACCCACUUGAUCCCUUCUAUGUUCAUCUCCUGUGCUGGAUUUGAUUCAUUAAUAUUUUAUUUCAGUUUUUAAUCUGUACCUAUAAAUGACAUUCACACACCA